rnacentral:rRNA from 1 species
UACGUAGGGUGCGAGCGUUAAUCGGAAUUACUGGGCGUAAAGCGUGCGCAGGCGGUUCGUUGUGUCCGUCGUGAAGGCCCCGGGCUUAACCUGGGAACUGCGAUGGAAACUAGCGAGCUGGAGUGUGGCAGAGGGGGGUGGAAUUCCGCGUGUAGCAGUGAAAUGCGUAGAGAUGCGGAGGAACACCGAUGGCGAAGGCAGCCCCCUGGGCUAACACUGACGCUCAGGCACGAAAGCGUGGGGAGCAAACAGG